AGCAGUGGGGAAUAUUGCACAAUGGGGGAAACCCUGAUGCAGCCAUGCCGCGUGUGUGAAGAAGGCUUUCGGGUUGUAAAGCACUUUCAGCGAGGAGGAAAGGGUAUUGCUUAAUAAGUAAUAUCUGUGACGUUACUCGCAGAAGAAGCACCGGCUAAUUCCGUGCCAGCAGCCGCGGUAAUACGGAGGGUGCAAGCGUUAAUCGGAAUUACUGGGGGUAAAGCGCGGGUAGGUGGUUAAUUAAGUCAGAUGUGAAAGCCCAGGGCUCAACCUUGGAACUGCAUUUGAAACUGGUUAACUAGAGUUUUGUAGAGGGUGGUAGAAUUUCAGGUGUAGCGGUGAAAUGCGUAGAGAUUUGAAGGAAUACCAGUGGCGAAGGCGGCCACCUGGACAAUAACUGACACUGAGGCGCGAAGGCGUGGGGAGCAAACGGGAUUAGAUACCCCGGUAGUCCACCCAGUAAACGAUGUCUAUUAGAAGUUU
rnacentral:rRNA from 1 species